rnacentral:lncRNA from 1 species
CCAAAUCCAUGUGGAGUACGGGCGAGAAGACGACGAAUGGUUAAACCGCCAUGGUUUGCACGGCCGCUGAUUCUUCUCAGCUCAGAUGGCCCACCGCUCACUACUCUGGUCUGUGGUCUCUGUACAAUAGCAGGCAGAAUUACAUUACAUAAAGAUUACCGGAUCUUCAAGCACGUCUAGGUUCACUGAACCUUAUGGAUG